rnacentral:SRP_RNA from 1 species
ACCAGGGAUGGUGGCUUGCGCCUAUAGUCCCAGCUACUUAGGAAGCUGAAGCUGGAGGACUACUGACUUCAAAAGUUCUGGGCUGCAGCAUGCUAUGGUGACAGCGUGUCCAACUAAGUUCAGCAUCAAUAUGGUGAACUCUUGGGAGCGGGGAAACCACCAGAUUACUUAAGAAGUGGUGAACUGGCCCAGGCUGGAAACAGAGCAGGUCAAAACUCCUGUGCUUAUCUGAUCAGUAGAGGGAUUAUGCCUGUAAACAGCACAGCACUCCAACCUGGGCAACAUAAUGUGAUUCCAUCUUUU